rnacentral:rRNA from 1 species
AAAUUGAAGAGUUUGAUCAUGGCUCAGAUUGAACGCUGGCGGCAGGCCUAACACAUGCAAGUCGAGCGGAAACGAGUUAUCUGAACCUUCGGGGAACGAUAACGGCGUCGAGCGGCGGACGGGUGAGUAAUGCCUAGGAAAUUGCCCUGAUG